GAUAACCAGUAGUAGAUCGCCAGUUUUCCCUCAGUCAUAAAUCUACCAUACUGCGCCCGCAUCCCGCCACCACAUUCACUUCUCCCACUAGCAAAAUACAAUACAACAAUGCAUGCAUUCAGUUUUAUCCAUGCUAUUCACGUCAACCUCCAUCACUUCGGUUACAAUCAAGAUUUCUCAGUUUGUCAUAAGAAAACUCAGAUUAGAGUAAGAAUAACGUGUCUUAACUCUUACUACACUUUUUUUUUUUUCGGUCUCAGUUGAAAUUCAUUUAGGACCAUCAUUUCUUUUUCGCAUCUCAAGGAUACCACAGCAGGUGGCGCUGAGGUCUCCAGAAUAGAGCCUCCCUGGUGCAAGGAAAGGAACGAAAGUUCAACUCCAGAGUGGCGGAUGUCAAGCAGCUGAGAGCGAGACGCAUGCAAGGCCACCGGCUGUAGGUGAUGCCGCUAGCGAGUGGUAGGGUAGUCCUGGCGAUAAAAAUUAACGGAAGCGGCAGAGGAGACGAUGAUUAGAAAGUACAUAUGCAGCAAUCAUUCUGCUUGGUUUGGUGGAGGAAGAACAUCCAGAAAGGAAAUCUCCCCCAUAGCUGCUUAUGUUACGUGUUAGUGUAAUUUAAUUAUGCAACAAUAAACUUUCAAGAAAUAAGGUAUCUUAAGAAAAAAAACACCAUCAGUUCAACGAAAUUUUAAUAUAUAGUGGAUAGAGUGGUCUCUGUAUAUGCCCUAAAGAAAAAAAAGUGGUUGUAGGCAUGUGUGUACCAAGCAUAUAAUUGUGGUUUACGUCCACCAAUUAAGGAGGUAUAGUUUCUGAUAGUUUGUGCCGAAUAUUAGACUGUUUGGGCCGUGGGCAGAUGCUUAAGGAGCGACUCGCACACAGAGGCGCCCUGUGCCGAAUAUUAGAUUGUUUGGGCCGUGGGCAGAUGCUUAAGGAGCGACUCGCACAUAGAGGCUCCCUGUAUGUGCAGCACGUUAACUACUGGUGCACAUACAGGGGGGUCCUCUAUGUGGGUGUCUCCUUAAACAGUCUUAAUUUUCAGCCUAAAUUUCACCUGCCCACGGCCCAAAUUUCUCCUUAAUAUUCGGCCUAAAUUUCACCUGCCACUGUUUUUUUAGAGCAUGAAUGUAAAGUAAAACCACAAACUACCUCCUUUAUUUGUGUACAUAGUUGAAAUGUAAUUGAAAUGUAAUUUUUGUCAUUUUUCUAGUAAUCGUUAUGGCACUAUGUAUUUUUUUACUCGUUUGAGAUGCACUUCGGUCGUCUGCAGCUCCUGGAUCACUAUUUUCAUUCGCCUCCAACUUCGAGGUGUCCGCCGUUUAUGUUGUUCCUUACGCUGCUGAACUGAAAUUUAGAUUAGUAAUACAUACACACUUCACAUGGCUUCCACCUCUCUACUUCACAGACCCCACACAUUCUCUCUCAUCCCAUCACUCCCUCUGCUUCCCUUCCACUCAUUUCCUGUCACAUUUCGUCUUCGUUCCAUCCCAGCAGUCAUCGUUUCUCUCCCACUCCUCCAUACAAUCUCUCUACCAUUCUACCCAUCUGCACUCGCCCCCACUACAUUCAUUCAUUCAUUCUCUCUCUCUCUCUCUCUCUCUCUCUCUCUCUCUCUCUCUCUCUCUCUCUCUCUCUCUCUCUCUCUCUCUCUCUCCUUUACUCUGGCAGUCUGGACAUCGUUAGUGUUGCAUGGCAUGGACAGUGCACCCGUGUUUUCAGUCUGCCCAUCAAAAAUGCUGUGCUAAGAACAAAGAAAUGAGAAGCUGCAAGAAGCCACCAGGCUUACACGUGGCAGCUCCUGUAUGAAAUAUACCUACCUAUUUCCACCUAUCAUCUCCAUCCAUAAACCCAUCUCGUCUUCUCAUAAAGCUCUAAUAUCCUAGCACUAACAGCAUGAUUACUGAGCCCGUUCCACUCAUCUACCACUCUAUUUGAGAAUCAAUUUCUUCCUAUCUCUUUCUUAAACCUUCUUCCUAUCUUUCUUAAACCUAAUUUUUUUAAACUUGGACCUGUUAUUUCUUGUUCCGUCCUGAGCUGGCUGGUAUUUCCAUUUCUACCACUACUGCUGCCACCACUUAUUUCGUGUUAUUCUUACUGCUACUGUCACUACUACUACUACUCAUGACAAGUGUUGUUCUUGUUACUACUACUUCUACUACUCCUACUAUUAUUACCCACAAGUGUUGUUCUUUGUAUCAUUACUACUACUAAUACUACUCAUUACAAAUGGUGGUCUUGCUAUUCCCAUUACUACUACUACAAUAGCAUACACUAACUAAUACUACUACUGUAUUAUUAUUAUUACAACAAAUAUUGUUGUGUGUAAUUUGUGACACGUACCCCGCUCACAAUCAUGUCGGAGAUGAGGAAACAUUCUGCACUAAAAGAGUUCUUCCAGUAAACACUUGGUCUUAU